rnacentral:rRNA from 1 species
CUGGGAUUAGAUACCCUGUUAUUUAAAAUGUAAAUUAUAAACUGAGGUAGUAUUAGUUAUGUUCUUGAAACUUAAAAAAUUUGGCGGUAUUUUAGUCUAUUCAGAGGAACCUGUUCUAUAAUCGAUAAUCCACGAUGGACCUUACUUAAAUUUGUAAUCAGUUUAUAUACCGUCGUUAUUAGAAUAUUUUAUAAGAAUGAUAAUUUUCAUAAUUUUUUAUUAAAAUAUAUAUCAGAUCAAGGUGUAGCUUAUAUUUAAGUAGAAAUGGGUUACAAUAAAUUUAUUUAUACGGAUAUAAAUUUGAAAAGUUUAUUGAAGGUGGAUUUGAAAGUAAAAUUAUAAAGAUAAAUAAUUUGAUUUUAGCUCUAAAAUAUGCACAAAUCGCCCGUCACUCUCUGA